UUUUCAGAGCCACUAAUCAGUUUCCCAAUGGUUGUUCGCAGCGAUUUUCUUACUUGAGAUCCUUUACCAUUUGCCGUUCUGGACUCUGUAGAAAUUACUGUUUGCAUGAGAUUCUGUAUGUCAUUUCUAGAGUAUACUUUAGGCUCAGGUGUACUAGGUAGCUCAAGUCUAGGAAUUUGUGUUCGACAAUCAGUCUUUAGUGCUUGCUUUUGGAAGGAUGAACUAGUAGGGCUUUGAUGAGGCUUAGAAUGAUAAGCCUCCAUCACUGAGCUGCCGUUGCUGAGAUUCCCAAACUGUUUUGUAACUGCUUCUUCAUCUUGAAACUGACUGUAUUUCUGUACGGAUACUGUGCUAGCAUGUAAAGACCUACUAACAUCUGCUGAUACUUUUAUCUGACUAUUGUCCUCAUUUCUUGAGCCUUCCGAGCUCAACCUCCUUGCCCGAGUUAUAGAAGAUGGAAUUUUUGGUCCUCUCCUGUCUUCUGCAUUCAUUGCCUUCUCAGAUUUCAUGGUGCUACCAUUCUCAAUGCUCAACCUUCGAGUACGUGGGGGAGUUUUCGCAAUCGCUGCCAUUUGUUUCUCAAAUGGAGAUUUAGGUUCUUUCAUUUUGUAUGAAGGUGUGCUCGGUGCUUCCUUAUUUGCCAAUGCUGAUCCUUUACCAUUUGCCGUUCUGGACCCUGUAGAAAUUACUGUUUGCAUGAGAUUCUGUAUGUCAUUUCUAGAGUAUACUUUAGGCUCAGGUGUACUAGGUAGCUCAAGUCUAGGAAUUUGUGUUCGACAAUCAGUCUUUAGUGCUUGCUUUUGGAAGGAUGAACUAGUAGGGCUUUGAUGAGGCUUAGAAUGAUAAGCCUCCAUCACUGAGCUGCCGUUGCUGAGAUUCCCAAAUUGUUUUGUAACUGCUUCUUCAUCUUGAAACUGACUGUAUUUCUGUACGGAUACUGUGCUAGCAUGUAAAGACCUACUAACAUCUGCUGAUACUUUUAUCUGACUAUUGUCCUCAUUUCUUGAGCCUUCCGAGCUCAACCUCCUUGCCCGAGUUAUAGAAGAUGGAAUUUUUGGUCCUCUCCUGUCUUCUGCAUUCAUUGCCUUCUCAGAUUUCAUGGUGCUACCAUUCUCAAUGCUCAACCUUCGAGUACGUGGGGGAGUUUUCGCAAUCGCUGCCAUUUGUUUCUCAAAUGGAGAUUUAGGUUCUUUCAUUUUGUAUGAAGGUGUGCUCGGUGCUUCCUUAUUUGCCAAUGCUGAUCCUUUACCAUUUGCCGUUCUGGACCCUGUAGAAAUUACUGUUUGCAUGAGAUUCUGUAUGUCAUUUCUAGAGUAUACUUUAGGCUCAGGUGUACUAGGUAGCUCAAGUCUAGGAAUUUGUGUUCGACAAUCAGUCUUUAGUGCUUGCUUUUGGAAGGAUGAACUAGUAGGGCUUUGAUGAGGCUUAGAAUGAUAAGCCUCCAUCACUGAGCUGCCGUUGCUGAGAUUCCCAAAUUGUUUUGUAACUGCUUCUUCAUCUUGAAACUGACUGUAUUUCUGUACGGAUACUGUG
rnacentral:lncRNA from 1 species